CCUCAGAAAAGGCAAAUAAGGCAAAAAGCAAAAUGGAGGUGGAACUGGAAGCCAGAAGUGAACAGACAAGUUGAGCUUCAGGAAGUGUCGAGGGUGGAUAAUGGGUGUUCCAGCCGAGGACAGACAGAGGACGUGGCAUCUGAGCUGGCUCUUCCUUGAGGGAGGAUGGUAUUCCUGGUAGAGGAAAUGCUGCGUGAGCCACUCAGGCUUCAGAAAGCUCCAUUGCCUCGGGUGUAAAUGACAUGUCAGCAGCCAUCCCACAGGGCUUUGAGUGCAGACACAUGCAGCCUCCAGAUAACACCAGCAGGACCGGGAACAAGAUAAAAGGUGCUCACACCUCAGCAAGGACAGAAGGUCCUCCUAGAGAUGCAGGCUCGAAGCAGCAGGCCCUAGUAACCCAUCUUUGUUGUUUAAAAGCACUCUGCCAAGGUGACUUGGUGGCACACACCUAUAAUCACAACACUUAGACUCGGGAGAUGGAGGCAGAAGGAUGAAGGUUAAAAGUCAUCCUUGGCUACACGCUGGGCUUGAAGUAAGCCUGGGCUACAAAAGACUCAACUCUUAAAGAAGGUGAGGGGGGAGCGUGUAGUAGUAUAUUAUUUGUGUUUUAAUAAAUAAGUCUUGCCUGACGAUCAGAGGGUAAAGCAGCCAUAUUAGUCAGUCAUACAGGGGGUGGUGAUGCACACCUUUAAUUCCCAGGACUCUGGAGACAGAGGCAGCCUGAACUCUGUGAGUUCAAGGCCACCCUGGGCUAUACAAGAUUGAGUCUGUCUAAAAGAGAAACAGAGCUCACACAAAGGUGAUCCCAACACUUGGGAUCACAUGCCUUUAAUACCAGCACUGGGGAGGUGGAGAUAUGGAGGUCACAUGCAUUUCAUACCAGCACUAGGAAUUACAUGGUGGGGCAGAGAGAGGAACUCUAGAGUGUUCUGGAGUCUGAACUUCGUGGAUCUUCGUGAGCUUGCAGGAUCGCCCCUUUGUUUUUCUGAGCCUUGGUAGAGGUAUGUUCCUUGUAUCCCUGCUCUCUCCAAGACCUUUAUCAUGAAGAUAAAACUUGUCAAAAGAAACUCUCCCCAAAAUUAGGGUUGGGGAAGGGUUUUGUUUUUGUCUUUUAAGGAGAAUAAAGGAAUCCAGCUAAGGAACCUGAAGACCACUGAAGAAAUGAGACAUCUGAAAAAAAAGGACAAAUCAUUCAGGAAAACAAUAUCUCAAGAAAAAGAGUAAAUUGGCCUAUUGGAUCCACUAAAAAUACUGUCACCCAGACCAGACAGCAGGAAGUAAAUUUAAGAAUAUGAUGCCUACAUUCCCAAGAGUGAGACACAUCUGCUCCAGGCAGCACCAGUUUACUUCAGAAAAGAUGAUG